rnacentral:rRNA from 1 species
CCUACGGGUGGCAGCAGUGAGGAAUAUUGGUCAAUGGGCGGGAGCCUGAACCAGCCAAGUCGCGUGAGGGAAGACGGUCCUAUGGAUUGUAAACCUCUUUAGGCGGGGAGCAAUGCCGGGCACGCGUGCCCGGAGGGAGAGUACCCGCAGAAUAAGCAUCGGCUAACUCCGUGCCAGCAGCCGCGGUAAUACGUAUGGUGCAAGCGUUAUCCGGAUUUACUGGGUGUAAAGGGAGCGCAGGCGGCACGGCAAGCCUGAUGUGAAAGCCCGCGGCCCAACCGCGGGACUGCAUUGGGAACUACCGGGCUGGAGUGCCGGAGAGGUAGGCGGAAUUCCUAGUGUAGCGGUGAAAUGCGUAGAUAUUAGGAGGAACACCAGUGGCGAAGGCGGCCUACUGGACGGUGACUGACGCUGAGGCUCGAAAGCGUGGGGAGCAAACAGGAUUAGAUACCCCUGUAGUC